UUGAAGUUUGGGAAGAAAGGAGCGAGAAAGCGAGACUGUUGUGCGUGUUUUUUUCCAUUCGGGAGGAAAAUAAGGAAAACGUAGACUUUCAGGCAGAACAUUCGUCGCGAUACCGCAUUGUACAAGGGCAUCCCGUCACAUCGGAUCGGCGUGGGCUGUAUUUGCUGUACGUUGCGUACCGAAGAGCGCGAAAAAUAAGUUGUCAUUCAUUUUGCAAGGAGUGUUGGUUUGGGCCCAAUACGGCCGUCGGCUCCAGGUGCUGUGUUUUGUUUUUGUUAAAGCAGAGUUAGAAUCGCUAAACUCUUUACAGCGGUGAUCUCGCUCCUUUUCAUCUAGGUCAGUAUAUUUUGGUUGUUUAUUGUUUUGUUUUUUUUAAAAAAAAUCCACGACUCCCUACAGUAAGGAGGGAUCUUUUAGCUAGGAAGCGGCGGAGGGGUCCCGAGUAUUUUGGCGUCCCGCGUAGAGAGAGAAGAGUUCGAGAGCGCACGAAGCGUGAAGAUGGCCGAGCUGUAUAUCCGGGUGGCCGAGGAUGAAAACGAGGAGCCCAUGGAGAUCCCCUCGGAGGACGACGGCACGGUGCUGCUCUCCACCGUGGCGGCGCAGUUUCCGGGAGCCUGCGGCCUGCGCUACCGGAGCCCCGUGUCGCAGUGCAUGCGUGGGGUCCGCCUGGUGGAGGGCAUCCUGCACUCCCCCGAGACCGGCUGGGGCAACUUGGUCUACGUGGUCAACUACCCUAAAGAUAACAAGAGGAAGAUGGACGAGAUUGAUGCCUCCUCCGCGGUGAAGAUCAAGAGGGGAGUGCAGAAGACGUCGGACCUGAUUGUCCUGGGCCUGCCUUGGAAGACGUCGGAGCAGGACCUCAAAGACUACUUCAGCACGUUCGGGGAAGUGUUGAUGGUGCAGGUUAAACGAGAUGUGAAAACGGGAAAUUCCAAGGGGUUUGGAUUUGUAAGAUUUACGGAUUACGAGACGCAGGUGAAGGUGAUGUCUCAGAGGCACAUGAUUGACGGGAGGUGGUGCGACUGCAAGCUGCCCAACUCGAAGCAAAGCCCGGACGAGCCCCUGCGCAGCAGGAAGGUGUUUGUGGGCCGCUGCACCGAGGACAUGACUGCGGAAGAGCUGCGCCAGUUCUUCAUGCAGUACGGAGAGGUCACGGAUGUUUUCAUCCCCAAACCUUUCCGGGCUUUUGCAUUCGUCACUUUUGCGGACGACCAGGUUGCUCAGUCACUUUGCGGAGAGGACCUGAUUAUUAAGGGAGUCAGCGUGCACAUCUCGAACGCCGAGCCUAAGCACAAUAAUAUUCAUCUCUUUUCCAAUUUCCCUGGAAGAAGCCCUUCACUGGCAGCAAUGUUCGAGCGAUCUCAGUAUCAGUUCCCUUCUUCCCAUGUGUAAAUGCUUUGUCAUCAAAGAGCGCAGCUUCACUCUGCAUAUACUGUGUUCGACGGGACCAUGGAUAAGGAGUUACCCCAUUCUUCACCGCUGAUGCAGGUCUACUCUUGGAUAAGGAAGAUGUCUUUUUUUUUCAGAAGGCUGAAGACCCAGGCUCAUUGGAGUUUUGUAUGGUCCCAAAACUUGAUAACAGUGGGACAGCAGCCAUUGCUUCAAACCUGAAAAACAGGGGCUGUCUUCACUUUACAAGAAAAUGGGAACCCAUCUUUCUUGAAUAAUUUCAAGGACUCUUUUUAAAAGAGAGAUGUGGUUAUGAAUAGCCAUGAACAUUUUUUUAAAAAUGUAGGUAAGUACUGCUGCAAGACCUUAAUGUGGGUAAGAAAGACAAAGUCCCUUCCCAUUGGUGUGCAAGAGUUCUGAUCCUCCUGCAUCUCCUCCCCACGUUUACAUGGAAAGCAACUGGUUUCUGAAAAAAGAGGUUUUUGUCCUGUUUUAUUUAAAUUUUCAACGGUUUGAACACCUCAGAAUGUGAAAAAUAACUAUCUGCUUUACGGGGGAUGCAAUUUGUGUUAAGUACUGUGAUCCUCGAUGAUAAAUGUAACAGUUUUGUUUCAUUGUAAUUAAACGCUAACCUUUUUUUUUAUAAAGUCUGACUUUUUCAUUUUGAAGCGGUGUGAUAGAGUUCUAAGUGUGUCCAGGUUAACCUUUUCCAGUGAUGGCCAAAAUGGUACUAAAAUUUGUGAAUUUGACAAUUUCCAGGAUUCAUACAUAUCCACAGGUAUUAAAUUGUUCGUGAAAUGAAGAGGGGUAUUUGUUCUGGGUGUAGUUUAAAGUAAGGCUUCAGAGGGUAGUGCCCUCUAUGAAGUGGUUGGUAUACAAACCUGUACUUUCUACAUAGAAUGUAAAGCCCUAAUGUAUUUGAAACACUGUCUAGUAUUUUUCUGAUCCUCACAAAUGUGAAAUAAAUUGUUACAUUUUCUACCA